rnacentral:pre_miRNA from 1 species
AAAGUACUCCCUCCUUCCCAAAAUUCUUGUCUUAGAUUUGUCUAGAUACGGAUGUAUCAAGUCACAUUUUAGUAUUAGAUACAUCCGUAUCUAGACAAAUCUAAGACAAGAAAUUUGGGACAGAGGGAGUAGUUG